GGGUUGUGAGGUUAAGCGACUAAGCGUACACGGUGGAUGCCCUGGCAGUCAGAGGCGAUGAAGGACGUGCUAAUCUGCGAUAAGCGCCGGUAAGGUGAUAUGAACCGUUAUAACCGGCGAUUUCCGAAUGGGGAAACCCAGUGUGAUUCGUCACACUAUCAUUAACUGAAUCCAUAGGUUAAUGAGGCGAACCGGGGGAACUGAAACAUCUAAGUACCCCGAGGAAAAGAAAUCAACCGAGAUUCCCCCAGUAGCGGCGAGCGAACGGGGAGGAGCCCAGAGCCUGAAUCAGCAUGUGUGUUAGUGGAAGCGUCUGGAAAGGCGCGCGAUACAGGGUGACAGCCCCGUACACAAAAGCGCAUGUGCUGUGAGCUCGAUGAGUAGGGCGGGACACGUGGUAUCCUGUCUGAAUAUGGGGGGACCAUCCUCCAAGGCUAAAUACUCCUGACUGACCGAUAGUGAACCAGUACCGUGAGGGAAAGGCGAAAAGAACCCCGGCGAGGGGAGUGAAAAAGAACCUGAAACCGUGUACGUACAAGCAGUGGGAGCACAGGUUUACCUGUGUGACUGCGUACCUUUUGUAUAAUGGGUCAGCGACUUAUAUUCUGUAGCAAGGUUAACCGUAUAGGGGAGCCGGAGGGAAACCGAGUCUUAAUUGGGCGUUAAGUUGCAGGGUAUAGACCCGAAACCCGGUGAUCUAGCCAUGGGCAGGUUGAAGGUUGGGUAACACUAACUGGAGGACCGAACCGACUAAUGUUGAAAAAUUAGCGGAUGACCUGUGGCUGGGGGUGAAAGGCCAAUCAAACCGGGAGAUAGCUGGUUCUCCCCGAAAGCUAUUUAGGUAGCGCCUCGUGAAUUCAUCUCCGGGGGUAGAGCACUGUUUCGGCUAGGGGGCCAUCCCGGCUUACCAACCCGAUGCAAACUGCGAAUACCGGAGAAUGUUAUCACGGGAGACACACGGCGGGUGCUAACGUCCGUCGUGAAGAGGGAAACAACCCAGACCGCCAGCUAAGGUCCCAAAGUCAUGGUUAAGUGGGAAACGAUGUGGGAAGGCCCAGACAGCCAGGAUGUUGGCUUAGAAGCAGCCAUCAUUUAAAGAAAGCGUAAUAGCUCACUGGUCGAGUCGGCCUGCGCGGAAGAUGUAACGGGGCUAAACCAUGCACCGAAGCUGCGGCAGCGAACGUAUCACCCAAGACAACUUUACGGAGUUGACGAUUGACGGAGCGAAGCGACGUCAAAGCGUUCAUUAAAGUCGAGUUGGCUUAGGGAUACGUUCGUUGGGUAGGGGAGCGUUCUGUAAGCCUGUGAAGGUGUGUCGUGAGGCAUGCUGGAGGUAUCAGAAGUGCGAAUGCUGACAUAAGUAACGAUAAAGCGGGUGAAAAGCCCGCUCGCCGGAAGACCAAGGGUUCCUGUCCAACGUUAAUCGGGGCAGGGUGAGUCGACCCCUAAGGCGAGGCCGAAAGGCGUAGUCGAUGGGAAACGGGUUAAUAUUCCCGUACUUGGUGUUACUGCGAAGGGGGGACGGAGAAGGCUAUGUUGGCCGGGCGACGGUUGUCCCGGUUUAAGCGUGUAGGUGUGUGUUCCAGGUAAAUCCGGUUCACUUUAACACUGAGGCGUGACGACGAGGCACUACGGUGCUGAAGCAACAAAUGCCCUGCUUCCAGGAAAAGCCUCUAAGCAUCAGGUAACAUCAAAUCGUACCCCAAACCGACACAGGUGGUCAGGUAGAGAAUACCAAGGCGCUUGAGAGAACUCGGGUGAAGGAACUAGGCAAAAUGGUGCCGUAACUUCGGGAGAAGGCACGCUGACACGUAGGUGAAGUGAUUUACUCAUGGAGCUGAAGUCAGUCGAAGAUACCAGCUGGCUGCAACUGUUUAUUAAAAACACAGCACUGUGCAAACACGAAAGUGGACGUAUACGGUGUGACGCCUGCCCGGUGCCGGAAGGUUAAUUGAUGGGGUCAGCGCAAGCGAAGCUCCUGAUCGAAGCCCCGGUAAACGGCGGCCGUAACUAUAACGGUCCUAAGGUAGCGAAAUUCCUUGUCGGGUAAGUUCCGACCUGCACGAAUGGCGUAAUGAUGGCCAGGCUGUCUCCACCCGAGACUCAGUGAAAUUGAACUCGCUGUGAAGAUGCAGUGUACCCGCGGCAAGACGGAAAGACCCCGUGAACCUUUACUAUAGCUUGACACUGAACAUUGAGCCUUGAUGUGUAGGAUAGGUGGGAGGCUUUGAAGUGUGGACGCCAGUCUGCAUGGAGCCGACCUUGAAAUACCACCCUUUAAUGUUUGAUGUUCUAACGUGGACCCGUAAUCCGGGUUGCGGACAGUGUCUGGUGGGUAGUUUGACUGGGGCGGUCUCCUCCUAAAGAGUAACGGAGGAGCACGAAGGUUGGCUAAUCCUGGUCGGACAUCAGGAGGUUAGUGCAAUGGCAUAAGCCAGCUUGACUGCGAGCGUGACGGCGCGAGCAGGUGCGAAAGCAGGUCAUAGUGAUCCGGUGGUUCUGAAUGGAAGGGCCAUCGCUCAACGGAUAAAAGGUACUCCGGGGAUAACAGGCUGAUACCGCCCAAGAGUUCAUAUCGACGGCGGUGUUUGGCACCUCGAUGUCGGCUCAUCACAUCCUGGGGCUGAAGUAGGUCCCAAGGGUAUGGCUGUUCGCCAUUUAAAGUGGUACGCGAGCUGGGUUUAGAACGUCGUGAGACAGUUCGGUCCCUAUCUGCCGUGGGCGCUGGAGAACUGAGGGGGGCUGCUCCUAGUACGAGAGGACCGGAGUGGACGCAUCACUGGUGUUCGGGUUGUCAUGCCAAUGGCACUGCCCGGUAGCUAAAUGCGGAAGAGAUAAGUGCUGAAAGCAUCUAAGCACGAAACUUGCCCCGA
rnacentral:rRNA from 3 species